rnacentral:rRNA from 1 species
UACAGAGGGGGCAAGCGUUAUUCGGAAUUAUUGGGCGUAAAGAGCUCGUAGGUGGCCUGUCGCGUCGGCUGUGAAAACUCGGGGCUCAACUCCGAGCUUGCAGUCGAUACGGGCAGGCUAGAGUUCGGCAGGGGAGACUGGAAUUCCUGGUGUAGCGGUGAAAUGCGCAGAUAUCAGGAGGAACACCGGUGGCGAAGGCGGGUCUCUGGGCCGAUACUGACGCUGAGGAGCGAAAGCGUGGGGAGCGAACAGG